rnacentral:rRNA from 1 species
GUCUCUUAUAAUAAAUCGAUUAAACUGAUCUCCCAGUAAAAAAGCUGGAAUUCCAACAUAAGACCAGAAGACCCUGUGAAGCUUGAACUACACUAUUAAACCUUAUAAUAACUACUUUCGGUUGGGGCGACCUUGGAAAAAAAAAGAACUUCCAAACUAUGACCAUACUACCACUAGGCCCACAAGCCACAAACGACCCAGCAUAGCUGAUUAUUGAACCAAGUUACUCCAGGGAUAACAGCGCAAUCCUNUUCAAGAGCCCAUAUCAAAAAGAGGGUUUACGACCUCGAUGUUGGAUCAGGA